ACUUGGGGGGUUUUUGCAGGCUUUUCUUAUCAAGUCGGCUCCCCUGAAAUGCAUUAGUGGUAUCUGGAGCGGGAAACUACUAGGUGUGAUAAAUAUCAUCUAUGCCUUUUGGUAUGCCGCAUGAAACAGGUUGUGCUGCUUCCAACGCACCCUUUGACAAACUUGACCUCAAAUCAGGUAGGACUACCCGCUGAACUUAA
rnacentral:misc_RNA from 1 species